UGACUUUACGGUCACCCUGCCGCUAGCGCUUGCGAGUCACUGUGAAAUAUAACGACCACAUGAGCUGAGCAUAUCGGCGGGAGUUACUGAAGUUUAUAAAGGCCCCCCUGCCCUAAUGUUCCAUUCACCAUGCAACAAAGUUGACAAGUUCAUGAUCAUGAGAGGAUUUAAGAAGGUGGUUGACUUGCAGUGUGGGGUGUUGGUGAGUGGGGGGAGCCAAGGACAUCCGCUAUAUUUUGAAAUACACAUGAGACAUUAAAAUGUACAUCAAAAACGCUUGUGAAUGUCGGGUUCCUACUGUAGUAUGCGUUUACUAAGGUACCUACCGGUACUAACAUACAUACAUGUACUAACAAUUGCUAUAGGAAAACUAACAUUCAAGAAAAUUAAUUUGGGAAAGUUUCAUUCAGACAAUUACACAUGUACUGUGGAAAAGCGACUUAAAAACAAAUAGUUU